rnacentral:rRNA from 1 species
GAUGAACGCUGGCGGCGUGCCUAAUACAUGCAAGUCGAGCGAACGGACGAGAAGCUUGCUUCUCUGAUGUUAGCGGCGGACGGGUGAGUAACACGUGGAUAACCUACCUAUAAGACUGGGAUAACUUCGGGAAACCGGAGCUAAUACCGGAUAAUAUUUUGAACCGCAUGGUUCAAAAGUAAAAGACGGUCUUGCUGUCACUUAUAGAUGGAUCCGCGCUGCAUUAGCUAGUUGGUAAGGUAACGGCUUACCAAGGCAACGAUGCAUAGCCGACCUGAGAGGGUGAUCGGCCACACUGGAACUGAGACACGGUCCAGACUCCUACGGGAGGCAGCAGUAGGGAAUCUUCCGCAAUGGGCGAAAGCCUGACGGAGCAACGCCGCGUGAGUGACGAAGGUCUUCGGAUCGUAAAACUCUGUUAUUAGGGAAGAACAUAUGUGUAAGUAACUGUGCACAUCUUGACGGUACCUAAUCAGAAAGCCACGGCUAACUACGUG